CGGUGCGGCUGGUCCGGCAGGGCCGCGGGCUGCUGUUCCUCGACGAGUUGUCCACCGCGCCACCCGCGGUGCAGGCCGCCCUGCUCCGGC
rnacentral:tRNA from 1 species